UAGGGAAUCUUCGGCAAUGGGGGCAACCCUGACCGAGCAACGCCGCGUGAGUGAAGAAGGUUUUCGGAUCGUAAAGCUCUGUUGUAAGAGAAGAACGAGUGUGAGAGUGGAAAGUUCACACUGUGACGGUAACUUACCAGAAAGGGACGGCUAACUACGUGCCAGCAGCCGCGGUAAUACGUAGGUCCCGAGCGUUAUCCGGAUUUAUUGGGCGUAAAGCGAGCGCAGGCGGUUAGAUAAGUCUGAAGUUAAAGGCUGUGGCUUAACCAUAGUACGCUUUGGAAACUGUUUAACUUGAGUGCAGAAGGGGAGAGUGGAAUUCCAUGUGUAGCGGUGAAAUGCGUAGAUAUAUGGAGGAACACCGGUGGCGAAAGCGGCUCUCUGGUCUGUAACUGACGCUGAGGCUCGAAAGCGUGGGGAGCAAACAGGAUUAGAUACCCUGGUAGUCCACGCCGUAAACGAUGAGUGCUAGGUGUUGGGUCCUUUCCGGGACUCAGUGCCGCAGCUAACGCAUUAAGCACUCCGCCUGGGGAGUACGACCGCAGAGGUUG
rnacentral:rRNA from 1 species